rnacentral:rRNA from 1 species
UGGGGAAUCUUGCGCAAUGCGCGAAAGCGUGACGCAGCAACGCCGCGUGGGGGAAGAAGGCCUUCGGGUUGUAAACCCCUUUCAGGAGGGACGAAGGUGUGACGGUGAAUAGCCGAUCGCACUGACGGUACCUCCAGAAGAAGCUCCGGCUAACUACGUGCCAGCAGCCGCGGUAAUACGUAGGGAGCAAGCGUUGUCCGGAAUCAUUGGGCGUAAAGCGCGCGUAGGCGGCCCGGUAAGUCCGCUCUGAAAGUCCAAGGCUCAACCUUGGAAUGCGGGUGGAUACUGCCGGGCUAGAGUCCGGAAGAGGCGAGUGGAAUUCCUGGUGUAGCGGUGGAAUGCGCAGAUAUCAGGAGGAACACCAAUAGCGAAGGCAGCUCGCUGGGACGGUACUGACGCUAAGGCGCGAAAGCGUGGGGAGCGAACAG